rnacentral:misc_RNA from 1 species
CACACCACGAGAGUUUGUAACACCCGAAGUCGGUGAGGUAACCUUCAUGGAGCCAGCCGCCUAAGGUGGGACAGAUGAUUGGGGUGAAGUCGUAACAAGGUAGCCGUAUCGGAAGGUGCGGCUGGAUCACCUCCUUUCUAAGGAUAAUUACGAGAGCGCUUUUGUUUUGUUCAGUUUUGAAUGAGUGAUUCAUUCAAUUAAAUAGCAAUCCCGCGAUAAGCUUGGGAAGCAGAAGCUUAUUAUUUAUGUGAAUGGGCCUAUAGCUCAGCUGGUUAGAGCGCACGCCUGAUAAGCGUGAGGUCGAUGGUUCGAGUCCAUUUAGGCCCACCAUUCCAUUUCUUGAAAAACGGGGCCUUAGCUCAGCUGGGAGAGCGCCUGCCUUGCACGCAGGAGGUCAGCGGUUCGAUCCCGCUAGGCUCCACCAAUGAAACAAUCACGUUGUGAUUGGGACAACUUGUUCCUUGAAAACUAGAUAAUAGAUAGAAGGCAAUUAAUUUUUUUCAAAGCAUCUGUAAGAUCUUUUUUAACGGUUAAGUUAGAAAGGGCGCACGGUGGAUGCCUUGGCACUAGGAGCCGAUGAAGGACGGGACUAACACCGAUAUGCUUCGGGGAGCUGUAAGUAAGCUUUGAUCCGGAGAUUU